rnacentral:rRNA from 1 species
AAUGGGGGAAACCCUGAUGCAGCGACGCCGCGUGAGUGAUGAAGCCCUUCGGGGUGUAAAGCUCUUUCGACAGGAACGAUAAUGACGGUACCUGAAGAAGAAGCUGCGGCUAACUACGUGCCAGCAGCCGCGGUAAUACGUAGGCAGCAAGCGUUGUUCGGAAUUACUGGGCGUAAAGAGUGCGUAGGUGGUUGGCUAAGUUUGGUGUGAAAUCUCCCGGCUCAACUGGGAGGGUGCGCCGAAAACUGGCUAGCUAGAGUGUGGGAGAGGGACGUGGAAUUCCUGGUGUAGCGGUGAAAUGCGUAGAUAUCAGGAGGAACACCUGCGGUGUAGACGGCGUCCUGGACCAUUACUGACACUGAGGCACGAAAGCGUGGGGAGCAAA